ACUGAGCUAAAUCCCCAACCCCCAAGUUUUUGGGUCUUAAGUCUGGAUUCCAUCACGUUUUUUGGGGGGGAACAUAUGUAGAUGAACAUCCUAGAAACUAAAGAGUUAUUAGCUAAAGAGUGUGACUUUGCUAACUGCAGAGCCAAUAGCAAUAUAACGACCACAGCAAAAAAAAAAAAAAAAAAAAAGCCUUUUAGAUAUGUAAAAAAUAGCUUAGUCAGGAUCCCCAUACCCAAGGCUGCACCUGAUAACCAGAACUCAAUGACACCACUUAAGAUAACCAGACAGUCUAAGAACUGACGCCCACUGAACAAGCAGACAGUGCUCUUCUCCUCUGGAGCUCUGCUACUUUGACCUGCCCUGCAGCUGGAGAGUCUUCCCCAGGAUCCUGACCCUCAAAUCAGAGACUUCUGCUAGACACUGGACCUGCCCUUCAGCUAAGAUAUGUAGCACAGACCAGACAGCGGGAUUCAUUGCAGCAAAAUGCUUUCUCAGUACUGUACGUGGUGCUGUCAGAACCCACAUCCUCCGCUCUCUAUCCCGAGCCACAGACUGGGUUUCCGAGGCACUCGACAGAACACAACCACUCAGACG
rnacentral:sRNA from 1 species